AUUGAACGCUGGCGGCAGGCUUAACACAUGCAAGUCGAGCGGGCGAGGUUGCUUCGGUAACUGAGCUAGCGGCGGACGGGUGAGUAAUGCUUAGGAAUCUGCCUAUUAGUGGGGGACCACAUUCCGAAAGGGAUGCUAAUACCGCAUACGUCCUACGGGAGAAAGCAGGGGCUCUUUAUGACCUUGCGCUAAUAGAUGAGCCUAAGUCGGAUUAGCUAGUUGGUUGGGUAAAGGCCUACCAAGGCGACGAUCUGUAGCGGGUCUGAGAGGAUGAUCCGCCACACUGGGACUGAGACACGGCCCAGACUCCUACGGGAGGCAGCAGUGGGGAAUAUUGGACAAUGGGGGGAACCCUGAUCCAGCCAUGCCGCGUGUGUGAAGAAGGCCUUUUGGUUGUAAAGCACUUUAAGUGGGGAGGAGGCUUACCUGGUUAAUACCUGGGCUAAGUGGACGUUACCCACAGAAUAAGCACCGGCUAACUCUGUGCCAGCCGCCGCAGUAA
rnacentral:rRNA from 1 species